UACGUAGGUGGCAAGCGUUGUCCGGAUUUACUGGGCGUAAAGAGCGCGUAGGCGGCCAAUUCAGUCGAAUGUGAAAGCCCCCGGCUUAACUGGGGAGGGUCAUUCGAUACUGCUCGGCUCGAAGACAGGAGAGGGAAGUGGAAUUCCCGGUGUAGUGGUGAAAUGCGCAGAUAUCAGGAAGAACACCUAUGGCGAAGGCAGCUCUCUGGGACGGUACUGACGCUGAGACGCGAAAGCGUGGGGAGCGAACAGG
rnacentral:rRNA from 1 species